rnacentral:tRNA from 1 species
UAGAUAAAAGCCAGUUGAAUAGGGUAGUUAGCUGUUAACUAAUUAUUUAUGGGAUCAAAGCCCAUUUAUCUAG